rnacentral:misc_RNA from 1 species
GAUGAAGAACGCAGCGAAAUGCGAUAAGUAGUGUGAAUUGCAGAAUUCAGUGAAUCAUCGAAUCUUUGAACGCACCUUGCGCUCCCUGGUAUUCCGGGGAGCACGCCUGUUCGAGUGUCGCGAAAUUCUUCAAGCCUUGGAUGGAUUUUUUUUGUCUGUCCUUGGGCUUGGUUGUUGGGCUCUGCCGUGUCCUUCAUUGGGACGGCUGGCCUUAAAAGCAUUAGCCGAUCCUCGUGUGGUACUGGUUCUACUCAGCGUGAUAACAAUCUGAUCGUUGAGGACAUCUUCUGGAUGGCCAGUCAUCAUUUGGGUUGCUUCUAAACCGGUUUCGCAGAUUGCUCAAUCUGUGUGCCACUUUUCAGCUUUGACCUCGAAUCAGGUGGGACUACCCGCUGAACUUAAGCAUAUCAAUAAGCGGAGGA